AAUAUUUUAAAACUGAUGAUAGGUAUUAAUUUUUGAAUGCAUUAACAAUAGUGAAUGGCCAACAUGCUAAUUACCGAUAGCUCAAAGUAUUACGUCGAGAGGAACAGGCCCAUGAUGGUACCAUUGGAGUCUAGGAAUCAGUAAAGGAGGAGAAAACAAUAAUAGCGAGAAUACGUUCAUUGUUACUGGUAGCGUUGAUGAUACUGUCAAAGCUUGGCAAUGGGUUAUGAUACAUUGGCUUAAAAUACAUCUUUGCUUUAGCUUAGAGUGUAGCUCAGCUUAGCUCUAGCUUCAUCUCAUGAUAUAAACCAUGAAGGUAAUAACCAGAAGAAAAAUACAAGCAAAAUGUUUGUCUUUAUGGUUAGACUAAUAUCGAUCGUUGAAGAUAAAAAGGAGCAAAAAAAAGAGGAAGAAACGAAGAGAGGAAGGAAGCUCGACUCACGAGAAGAAUAAGGAUGAGAAAAAAAGAUGAUAAAGACGAGGACGUAAACGAAAAGCAGUGGAAAAAAAGAAGGAAACAAAGUUCUGAGAUUGAGUUAUCUCGUUUGAUGUCGAUCAUUCUCCUUCUCAAGUUGAAGGAACAUGUGAGAGAUGGAAAAGGACAAUAUUCAACAACCAAACCGACUAGACAGUAACCAGCACAAAGAUUCAAUUGCUAUCGAAAAGGAUUCUUUAAAGUUGGCAAAAAAGAUGAUGAACAACUGGUGGAAACUGGCUGAAGAGAGAAGCAUCUUGGCACAUUCAUUUUUGGGAAACCCAUUUCAGUCUAGCAUUUAUUAUUGAAUUGCUUUAAGAUUGAUAGCGAUGAGGUUAAAUUUAGAUAUGAAUGUGAUAUUGGAUAGAAACGCUUUCAACUGGAAGAAAACAUUGAAAUCCUUUCCCAUUUGCUUCGAUGUCUGGACUGAUAAAUCAUUGAAGUACUCAAACUGAAUGAAAAAUCCCUCAAAUUCCCAGUUAUUUAAAAGCUGAUUCAAAUGUGUGAAGUGUGUUAGCUAUCAUUGAAGAAUCAUAAUAUCUAAACGAAUGUUUUACCAAAACGAAUAUUUUGAUUUUAAUUUUUCCAAAAAAUCAAAUUAUUAGUAAUUAUACUCCAAUGGGACAUGGAAAUUGCCAGUUUGACUUGAAUUGAGCAAAAAUUUUAAUGUACAGUAAUGGCCAGGGAUUCAUUGUGAUUCAGUUGAAAUCAUUAAUUUUAUGAAUUUUGAUGAAACAAUAAUUCAACUGAAAAAUUUUAUUUUGUUUGAAAAAUUGGAUUCUUUCAAUAAGCUUGAAUAAUCUAAUUUGAUGGCGACUUUUCUUAUUAAAGAGAGUGAACUGAAUCUUCUGAGCGCCUUCAGUGUAACCAAUUCACUGAAUGAUUUUAUGCUGCAAACAAAACAAUGGAAUCGUAGGUUUAAAUAAUCUAAAUUCAAGAUUAUCUCUAAUGGAGUUUCAGUCGGAAGGGAAGACUAAGAGAUUGUAAUUUUACGAUGAUUAGGACGAUGGUUCAUGAUACUGUCAAGAUGAGAAAAAAAUUGGAUCAGAAGAGAGAAAAAAAUUUGCGUUGGUUUUUCCUCUGUUGAUGUUGACCACAAUCGCAAUGAGAUAAUGAAAAGAUGAAAAUAAUGUAAUCAAUGAUAAAAGUUCACAAUGGCAAUCAAUGAUAAUAAUAGUUAUAAUAGCAUUAAUGAUAAUACGCAAUUAAAAUGAACUUUUAUCAUUGAAUGUGAUCAUUUGGUUUCCUUUUUUGAUUACAGUCACAAUUGUUAACUUGGCCAAUUGAAUUCAAUUGAAUGUUAUUAAAGGGAGAAGACAAAAAGAGUCACAAUAAGACAAGCUCGGGUAAAAUGAUAACAAUGGAUGAAAGUGUAUUAAGAAGAGAAGAAAAAAUUUUGAUUCCCAAAAAUAUUACAUUUGGUCAAGUUGUAUAAAUGAAUGAAUCAAAUGACAAAAGUGUACAUUGACAUGGCCUUUUGUCACACCAAGAGUGGGUGGCAAUGGUUCACUUGUCCCCUCUAUUUACCCUUUUUAUGAUACUUUCAUCUUUAUCUUGAUUAAAACUCAUUCAAUAUUUUUAUCUCAUCUUAUCUAAACAAUAACUCCAAACCAUUAUUAUUAAAUUUAUACACAAAUGUCAAUACUCUGCAUUUCACUGUCUGACAAAAACAAAAUUAACCUGAAUCCAGAGUAAUCUGUGUAUUCACUGUUGAAUAAUUCAAGGGAUUGAAAGGAAUAAAAAUUUUCACUUUGAAUCUCAAAUCUUUUUCCUUCUCAGUUCGACCUUUUCCAAAUUUCUGAGAUUUCCUUGAAGCAGAAACAAAAACGAUAGUUUCAAUGAAAUGGCAAAGGAUACUAA